GCAAGUCGAACGAGAAAUUAACUUCGGUUAAUGGACAGUGGCGGACGGGUGAGUAAUAUGUAGGAAAUCUGCCUUUAGGAGGGGGACAACAGAGGGAAACUUCUGCUAAUAGCCCAUAUGAGCUAUCUUGAAAUAGAUAUCUUGAAAACUCCGGUGCCUAAAGAUGAGCCUGCACCUGAUUAGCUAGUUGGUGGUGUAAUGGACCACCAAGGCGACGAUCAGUAGCUGGUCUGAGAGGGUGAUC
rnacentral:rRNA from 1 species